rfam:Felis catus isolate Cinnamon breed Abyssinian chromosome F2, whole genome shotgun sequence.
GCCUGGGUGGCUCAGUCGGUUGAGCGUCCGACUUCGGCUCAGGUCACGAUCUCGCGGUCCGCGAGUUCGAGCCCCGCGUCGGGCU